rnacentral:sRNA from 1 species
CCCUCUGCCUGGCCACCUGCCUGGACCACCACUUCCCCACAGGCUCCAGGCCCACCGUGCCGGGACCCCUGCACUUCAGUGGAUAUAGCAGUGUGCCAGAUGGGAAGCCGCUGGUCCGCGAGCCGUGCCGCAGCUGUGCCGUGGUGUCCAGCUCCGGCCAAAUGCUGGGCUCAGGCCUGGGUGCUGAGAUCGACGGUGCCGAGUGCGUGUUCCGCAUGAACCAGGCGCCCACCGUGGGCUUUGAGGCGGAUGUGGGCCAGCGCAGCACCCUGCGUGUCAUCUCACACACAAGCGUGCCGCUGCUGCUGCGCAACUAUUCACACUACUUCCAGAAGGCCCGAGACACGCUCUACGUGGUGUGGGGCCAGGGCAGGCACAUGGACCGGGUGCUCGGCGGCCGCACCUACCGCACGCUGCUGCAGCUCACCAGGAUGUACCCCGGCCUGCAGGUGUACACCUUCACGGAGCGCAUGAUGGCCUACUGCGACCAGAUCUUCCAGGACGAGACGGGCAAGAACCGACUGGUCAUGAGGCUCAGAGAGGUUCACGAGCAAAUGUGAUGCCCAUAGCAGAGCCAGGGUUCAAGUGGAAGAUCCUUGGACUCUAGAGAACCCCCACCUGACUUCAAACCACGGUGCCCUGCUGCCUCAUGCUGUCUCCCCAGGCCUGGUCCCUUAGAUGAGGAGAGGACGUGGCCAGAGCCCCCACACCCAUCAUCCAGGGGUUUGCUCAAACCCUGCAAAGCGUAGCUGGGCCCGAGCCCCGCUGGGUGCUGAGGAGGUGAUCAGGCCUGGGUUUGUGUGCCGCUCUGCCUGUCACCCACUGCUGGCCUUGGGCUGGCUCUGCCCCCUCCCCAGCCUCCCCCAGAGUCCCCCGCAAGAGGUUGAGGUGCGUAGCCCUGGGCUGGCAAAGUACCAAGUGCUGCUGGGGCCUGGAGCUACCACAUGGCCCCUUGUUGACAGCAUCCCCCUGUCCCCCUGCCACCCCCAGGAGGCAGUCGGGCUCCUUCCUCAGCACCGGCUGGUUCACCAUGAUCCUCGCGCUGGAGCUGUGUGAGGAGAUCGUGGUCUAUGGGAUGGUCAGCGACAGCUACUGCAGGGAGAAGAGCCACCCCUCAGUGCCUUACCACUACUUUGAGAAGGGCCGGCUAGAUGAGUGUCAGAUGUACCUGGCACACGAGCAGGCGCCCCGAAGCGCCCACCGCUUCAUCACUGAGAAGGCGGUCUUCUCCCGCUGGGCCAAGAAGAGGCCCAUCGUGUUCGCCCAUCCAUCCUGGAGGACUGAGUAGCUUCUGUCACCCUGCCAGCCGCCAUGCCAUUGCGAGGCCUCCGGGAUGUCCCAUCCCAAGCCAUCACACUCCAC